AUAGGGGAGUCUAAAAUGCCGUGGGAGAGAGACAGAUGGCUGGUGGUCUCUUUUGACAUGAAGGAGUGAAAUAGCAGACGGAUAAAGAAGAGCUGAGGGUGUCAGUUGUGCAUCAAACUUGAGAUCUCUUCACAGAACCACCCACAUUCAGGGAUAUCGAUGCGCUUCUUGCACAGACAUCUUCAAAGUCAUCAGAGGUAUUUGAAAAGAGGCUGGGUUCCGUACUUGAACAGUGUAAGUGAAACGGUUACUGCAGCAGGUUUUGGGGGCAAGGUAGAAUGACGUGCCAUGUCCUUCCCACUCAUAAUGCCACUUUGUAAAAUUUAAGUCUCUUUCAAGACACUGGAGGAUUGGAGGAUAGUGACCUGAACUUGACACGGAGUCCUAGAAAAGGCGGCAGACUCUAAAAGACUGAGUUUGUUUACAAGUAAGGCAUUGUGGGUUCAUUGACCAAAGAGGAGAGUGAGAGAUUGCUCAGAUCUUACUGGGUUUAAAAGAACUAGAGUAAACUAAGCUAGACUAAACAAUCUUGAAGAGACGUAACAGCAACAACAAAUAUCAACAAAACUAAAAUUGUUUAUAUUUUUACAAAAGCUUUUCUUAACCUUAAAGAUAACCUCAAACAUAAAGAAACAAAAAGUACAAAGACAACAAAACCAAUUAAAUGCGGACACUUUAUCAACAAGAAAAUAACACUGUUUGUGCGCAGGCUAAAUCUUUUACAUACAGUCACUGUUGACAAGUACACUAAAAAGCAAAGGAGGAACACCUAUAUAAAAUAAAUAGUUCACUCAAAAAUUAAAAUUCUAUCAUCAUUUCCUCACCCUUGUGUUAUCGACACCUGUAAAGGAGUCAUCUAGCAAAAUGUGUGAGCUGUUCUUUUUCAUACAAUUAAAGAUUUUCA